GAUCAUGGCUCAGGACGAACGCUGGCGGUGUGCCUCAUACAUGCAAGUCGAACGAUAAGGUUCUUCGGAAAUACAUAAGUGGCGGACGGGUGAGUACAACAUAGGAAAUCUGCCCCAGAGAGGGGGACAACAGAGGGAAACUUCUGCUAAUACCCCAUACGAGCUUAGUUGAAAUACUAAUCUUGAAAACUCCGGUGCUCUGGGAUGAGCCUGUGCCUGAUUAGCUAGUUGGUGGUGUAAUGGACUACCAAGGCGACGAUCAGUAGCUGGUUUGAGAGGAUGAUCAGCCACAAUGGGACUGAGACACGGCCCAUACUCCUACGGGAGGCAGCAGUAGGGAAUUUUGCGCAAUGGGGGAAACCCUGACGCAGCAACACCGCGUGAAUGUUAAGCCCUUCGGGGUGUAAAGUUCUGUCAGUAGGGAAGAACAAAUGACUGUACCUACAAAGGAAGCACCGGCUAACUCCGUGCCAGCAGCAGC
rnacentral:rRNA from 1 species